GGAAGUAAAAGUCGUAACAAGGUUUCCGUAGGUGAACCUGCGGAAGGAUCAUUACUGUGAUUUAGUACUACACUGCGUGAGCGGAACGAAAACAACAACACCUAAAAUGUGGAAUAUAGCAUAUAGUCGACAAGAGAAAUCUACGAAAAACAAACAAAACUUUCAACAACGGAUCUCUUGGUUCUCGCAUCGAUGAAGAGCGCAGCGAAAUGCGAUACCUAGUGUGAAUUGCAGCCAUCGUGAAUCAUCGAGUUCUUGAACGCACAUUGCGCCCCUCGGCAUUCCGGGGGGCAUGCCUGUUUGAGCGUCGUUUCCAUCUUGCGCGUGCGCAGAGUUGGGGGAGCGGAGCGGACGACGUGUAAAGAGCGUCGGAGCUGCGACUCGCCUGAAAGGGAGCGAAGCUGGCCGAGCGAACUAGACUUUUUUUCAGGGACGCUUGGCGGCCGAGAGCGAGUGUUGCGAGACAACAAAAAGCUCGACCUCAAAUCAGGUAGGAAUACCCGCUGAACUUAAGCAUAUCAAUAAGCGGAGGA
rnacentral:misc_RNA from 1 species